rnacentral:sRNA from 1 species
CAAGUCGUAACAAGGUUUCCGUAGGUGAACCUGCGGAAGGAUCAUUAACGAGUUGUGAUAGGGUUUGAUGCUGGCAGCCAAACUUUUUGGAUGCAUGUGCUCGCCCUAGCAAAUUAUCUUCCCAAACACCCUGUGCAUGUUUUGAGGGAAUUUUGAGUCGAUUGCUGUCUUGCAGUGAUUUGUCCGUGUUCCCUUCAAAUCACUAUAUACGCUAUAACAAUGUUGAACGUGCUCUGUGCCGCAAGGCUAAUAAUACAUUACAACUUUUAACAACGGAUCUCUUGGCUCUCGCCCCCCCGACGAACGCAGCGAAAUGCGAUAAGUAAUGUGAAUUGCAGAAUUCAGUGAAUCAUCGAAUCUUUGAACGCACCUUGCGCUCCCUGGCAUUCCGGGGAGCACGCCUGUUCGAGUGUCACAAAUUCUUCAAGUUUUGGAUGGCAAUUUUUGCCUCCUUAGACUUGGUUGCUGGGCUUUGCCGUGUAACCUCCUUCAAUGGGGGAAUGGCUGGCCUUAAAAUCAUUAGCUGAUCCUUAUGUUGUGCCGGUUCUACUCGGCGUGAUAAUGGUUCUGAUCGCUGAGGACAUCUUUCGGGAUGGCCAGUCUUCGUUUGGGUUGCUUUCUAAUCUUGGUUGCAGAUUUAUUCGAUCUGCGGCCCAACUUCAGUCUUGACCUCGAAUCAGGUGGGACUACCCGCUGAACUUAA